rnacentral:rRNA from 1 species
UACGAACUUUGCGAACGUUAUUCGGAAUCACUGGGCUUAAAGGGUGCGUAGGCGGCGAAUCAAGUCUGUUGUGAAAUCUCCCAGCUCAACUGGGAAAGUGCAGUGGAAACUGAUUUGCUAGAGUGAGGCAGGGGUGUAGGGAACUUCCAGUGGAGCGGUGAAAUGUGUUGAUAUUGGAAGGAACACCGGUGGCGAAAGCGUUACACUGGGCCUUUUCUGACGCUGAGGCACGAAAGCCAGGGGAGCGAACGGG